UACGGAGGGUGCAAGCGUUGUCCGGAAUCACUGGGCGUAAAGGGCGCGUAGGCGGCUCAUGAAGGCUGUGGUGAAAGUCCGGGGCUCAACCUCGGAUCGGCCGUGGCGACUCGUGGGCUGGAGCACUGUAGAGGCGGGUGGAAUUCCGGGUGUAGCGGUGGAAUGCGUAGAGAUCCGGAAGAACACCAGUGGCGAAGGCGGCCCGCUGGGCAGUGGCGUGACGCUGAGGCGCGACAGCGUGGGGAGCAAACAGG
rnacentral:rRNA from 1 species